rnacentral:rRNA from 1 species
GCAGCAGGCGCGAAACCUUUACACUGCACGCCAGUGCGAUAAGGGGACUCCGAGUGCGAGGGCAUAUCGCCCUCGCUUUUCACGACCGUAGGAUGGUCGUGGAACAAGCGCUGGGCAAGACCGGUGCCAGCCGCCGCGGUAAUACCGGCAGCGCAAGUGAUGGCCGAUUUUAUUGGGCCUAAAGCGUCCGUAGCUGGCCAGGCAAGUCCAUCGGGAAAUCCACCCGCUCAACGGGUGGACGGCCGGUGGAACCUGCCAGGCUUGGGACCGGAAGACCCAACGGGUACGUCCAGGGUAGGAGUGAAAUCCCGUAAUCCUGGACGGACCGCCGAUGGCGAAAGCACGUUGGGAAGACGGAUCCGACAGUGAGGGACGAAAGCUAGGGUCUCGAACCGGAUUAGAUACCCGGGUAGUCCUAGCCGUAAACGAUGCUCGCUAGGUGUGGCACCGGCUACGCGCCUGUGUGCUGUGCCGUAGGGAAGCCGCUAAGCGAGCCGCCUGGGAAGUACGUCCGCAAGGAUGAAACUUAAAGGAAUUGGCGGGGGAGCACUACAACC